rnacentral:snRNA from 1 species
AUAUUUACCUGGCAGAUGAAAUAGCAUAAUCACAAGGGUGAUUUUGCCAGGGUGAGUUUAUGCACUUAACUCCAGAUGUGCUAACCCCUAUAAAUUUCCUAAGUGUGGGAAACUCAACUGUGUAAUUUGUGAUAGUAGUCUC